rnacentral:lncRNA from 1 species
CACAUUGUGACAUUGUGUUUUAGUCAAGUCCUCCCUAGCACCCACCAGCAGGGAGAAACCUUGAUCAGGGCACACAGAUCUGUCCCUCAGCCAACAAACAUGUCUUGGACAAAUGGAGGCUCCUCUGUCAUCCUCCAAGCAGCAACUCUGUCAUCGGCCUCAAAACUGAAUCCAAUGGAGAGGUGACAGCUAAUCAAAAGAACGCUGGUUCCCUCUUUUGUCAUUUGCAUGUAUCAUAGUGAGAUACUCCUUCGUUGCUAUUGUUUUGGGGACAAUCUGCUUUCAAGAGGCUACCAUGUGGAUGUCUCCCCGUCUGUCCUGUGCUUUUCCCUUGGAAGCCCUCACAUCCAAUCACAAGGAAAUCGGAUGAGAAACCUGGGACUCAGAGGGAGCAGUAACUGUCAGAUUCACCGUCACACAUCCUCGCAUGGUGGAUGUCAUCUACCUGCUCAAUGUAGCGUUCUCUGAACUGACCACCUUCUGUGGAUAUCCUGGCAAGCUAGAUGUUUUAAUUCCAAGAUCACAGUGUCCAAGUUCGGCCAGAUGUAUGUGAUGUAAUAAACUACAUUUCUUU